CCGAAAGGUUACAACGGCAAAUACUGUAAGAAAAAGAAUUCAAAAUAUUGUGUAAAGUUAUCAUGUCAGUUGUCGUCCUCGCAUAUUCUCUGAAACGUUUCCUUUUGUGUUAUAAUUCGAUUCAAGUGUGAUAAAAUUUAAUAAAAAAUGCCAGCGGAAGAUGAAAAUUGGAAAGUACCGAGUAACUUUUGUUGCUGUUUCGCAGAAUCCGAUUCUUUAUCCUCAUCGGAUAGUAGCUCAUUUACUUCGACUGUUACUACUCGUACUUGCAGCUGCGAUAAUGAAAGCUGCAGCUACGGCGAUUAUAAGCCAAAGACGAUGCUAAAGAGUAAAGCAAGGAGAAUGAGAGAGAAAUGUCCAAAAUGUGUGCGAAAACAUUUGAGAAUGAAAAUUCAAAGAAAGAAGAGCUGGAAGAAAACAAGAAGUUUUUGAAAAAUAAUUAUUCAUCUGAUUCUUCCGAUCAUUGCGACAACAAACAAUACAAGAGUAAAAAUAAACGGAAAAAGUUGAGGAAAGCUAAAUCGUUUAAUAGUAAGAAAACUUCAACGAAGCGCACGAGAAAAUCUUCUGAAAGUCAUUCGUCAUCGUCUUCAUUCCUGAAUAAUUCUAGCAGUGAUGAACAUAUCUGUGAUUGCGACGAAAAUAUCCGUCAACAUCACGUUGCAAAAUAAAACCUCACAGUUACGAAAAUAAUCCCGAUAAAUUACUUACAAUUAUUCAAAUAUAAUAUAAUUACUUAUCGUAUUAUACGUUAAGAAAAAUGUAUUGUGCACAUAGAAAAACAAAUUGCGAUAAAAUAUAUUUAUACUCGUAUUGUAAUAUUAAGUCAAAUUUGUUCCGCUUAAAAGAAUUGCUAUAAAAUAUAUUGUAACAAA